AUUGGGGUCAUCCCAGAGGCAGCCUGGCUGUUGUAGACAGAGGGGACUUGGUGUCUGCCCUGGUGCUGGCAAUUGUGCUGUGAGCACAGGCUCUAGGCGGGUGGGCUUCAACAGUUGUGGCCCACAGGCUCAGUGGUUGGGGCCCAUGGACUUAGUUACUCCACGGCAUGUGGAAUCUUCCCGGACCAGUGAUUGAACCUGUGCCCCCUGCACUAGCAGGAAGAUUUCUAUCCAUAGUACCACCAGACACUGACCUGCCCAGGAGACUGAACUCUGCCAACAAGCUUACCUGUUCCAGUAAAAUCCAUUGAUUAUCAUCACUGUGGUCACAGCAGUAACUGUCCACCAACCACGUGCCUGUGUGCCUGGGGCCUGAACCAGCGAAAUAACCUCCUUGUGCCUCCUCCUCCUUGUUUGUCAAAUGGGGCUAGUUAUCUCAUAGGACUGUUGUGAGGAUUAAAUUAGUUAAUACAUGCAAAGUGCUUAGAACAGUACCUGGCGCACAGGGCUAAAUAAGUUUCCUGUUGUCAUUUUGUUAGGGGAAGCACACUGAUUGAAACCGCCCACCCUGGCCAGGCACCAUAAUAACCAUUUACAUGAGUUGUUUUAUGGCAGGAGAUCCUGAUAAGGAAUAUGGAACUAAUAAGCCACCACCAGCCGGAAGAGUUCGGGAAAGAUCAAGAGGAGACACUACCUGUCCAUCCACUUCCCAGAAUCCCUCUCGCUAGCAUCCAUCUUGGCUGAGCGAUGUGUGCGCCACCAGGAAAGACUCUGAAUUAGAAUGACUGGCCAAAGACCACCCGGAAACGAAUCCCAUCACCAUAAAACCCAAGACUGCGAGCCACACGGCAGAGUUCCCCUGGGUUCCCUUACCUACUGCUCUCCACCC